rnacentral:rRNA from 1 species
AGCAGUCGCCACGGUAAUACGAAGGGGGCUAGCGUUGCUCGGAAUUACUGGGCGUAAAGGGAGCGUAGGCGGAUGAAUUAGUCAGGGGUGAAAUCCCGGGGCUCAACCUCGGAACUGCCUUUGAUACUGUUCAUCUUGAGUAUGGGAGAGGUGUGUGGAACUCCGAGUGUAGAGGUGAAAUUCGUAGAUAUUCGGAAGAACACCAGUGGCGAAGGCGACACACUGGCCCAUUACUGACGCUGAGGCUCGAAAGCGUGGGGAGCAAACAGGAUUAGAUACCCGAGUAGUCCCUGUCUCUUAUAA